AUGCCGGGCCAUUGCCUCCUCCUCCUCCCUCCCCAUUGGUGGAGGACGGCGCCGCUGCCACAGAGAGCGAGCCAUCCCGCGGCCAGAGAGGACGCGCCGGGAGGACCGCCCGCCUCGUCUCGCCUCCUCCCGCGUUGUCAUGGCGCCCGCGGGAUGCCGGAAGCGCCGGCCGCGGCUGCCCAGGCCAACGGCCGCCUCGGGCCCCGCCGCCAUCUUCCACCCUUCAUCGCCUCCAGCUGCCCUUCGGCUACAGCCCCCCAAGAACCUGCCUCUCAGCUGAUAGCUUCUCUUUUUCCUAGGAUGGGUGUACCUGAAACACCUAAACCCAGCAGCAGAGACAACCCUUGUCUCACUGCGUCCAUGACCAGAGGACACCAACUGCGGGGCCCGGGACACGAUCCCGUCACCCAGCGCCAUCUGCAGAGCCUGGGACACAAUCCCAUCACCCAGCACCAUCCGCAGAGCCCGGGACACGAUCCCGUCACCCAGCGCCAUCUGCAGAGCCUGGGACACGAUCCCAUCACCCAGCACCAACCACAGAGCCCUGGACACAGCACCGCUGAAAAAUUGCUUGAGCUACUGAGCAGGCCUGACUGUUGUUGUAGCCGGUGGACAAUUUCACUUCUCUUCCAUCACAUAAACAAUUCAGCAUGCCUAAGGGCAGCCUGCUAUGAGUUCCCAGGAACUUUUAGUGUUCCACCAACAAUCAAUAUGCUUCUACAUCAUUCAUUCAGAUGACAGAGAAAGGAGGAUGCUUAAUCCGCCAGGCAGAGAUGUACCUGUGAAAUUCCCAGGAGGAAACAUUUGAGCAAAGUCUUGAAGCUGCAGACUGAGAUGGGAACCGACUAAGGCACAGAUCAAGUAAACUGGUGGAUGAGGGCGCUAAGAGGGUCGGCUGAGGAACAGACUAAAUCACCCAUAGUAUACAGGUUAACCUAGAUGCAUUGACCUGUUAAAAUUUUUUUAUACACCUGUUUUAUGAGGAAUAUAUAUUCAUAAUGUCUGUCACUAUACUCAUACAGAGAACCUGUUUGCAGCUCAAAGCAGUGAAAUGGCAUCCAGCAUAUGAACGGCAAAUUGUUCCUUCUUUAGAAAAUAGCGAAGAGUUUCUGGCUACAUGUUAUCAUUAUGGUUUUAAUGCAUUCUCUGUCUCAUGUUUUCUUACGUAUAGUAAUAGUUGAUCGAAUAAAUAAUUGAGUUUUGAAAGAGUUGAGCA
rnacentral:lncRNA from 1 species